UGCUUACACAUGCAAGUCGAGCGGCAGCGCGGGGCAACCUGGCGGCGAGCGGCGAACGGGUGAGGAAAACAUCGGAACGUGUCCCGUAGUGGGGGAUAGCCCGGCGAAAGCCGGAUUAAUACCGCAUAUGCUCUACGGAGGAAAGCGGGGGAUUCGCAAGAACCUCGCGCUAUGGGGGC
rnacentral:rRNA from 1 species